CCAGUUCCGAUGGAAGCCUCCAUGCCCACGCACCUGCUCUGCUUCUCUCUCUCUCCUUUCCUCUCCAGUUUCUUUAAUUCAGAUCAACCUUCCCUGGUAGCCCCUAACUCAAUAAAGCAUGUGUGCCUAACAUGGCCCUUCCUGCAGGGUUCCACUUCAUUAUCUCCAUAAUCCAACCUGGGGCUGCGUAAGAAGAGCACAACCACUCUCCAAGUGAUUUAACAGGAUGCUUUAAUGAUGUAUUGAAAAUGAACAUUGAUCCCAGUGAGCAAAGCAAGGCUUAAAGAGCUAAGGAGACUGUGGGAAUGAAGGUUUCGAAGUGGUCUGAAUGGAGAAAGAAGCGGUGGGAGAGCUGAGUCAUCCUGCAGCACACGGCAAGGUAGUAGAAAACCCUGGAGAACAACAGCAGCCUGCCCCAGAGUCAGCCAUGAGCGCUGAUUUAGUUUCAGGAAAACAAUAACACUUUGUCCCAUUAAAUUAAUGUUGUUAAUUUGAAGUUUAUUGGUUU
rnacentral:lncRNA from 1 species